rnacentral:rRNA from 2 species
UUAAGCGGAGGAAAAGAAACUAACUAGGAUUUCCUUAGUAGCGGCGAGCGAACAGGAAAGAGCCCAGCACCGAAUCCCGCGGUUCCGCCGCAGGGAAAUGUGGUGUUUGGGAGGAUCCGCUUAUCCCGAGGUGUCGCGUCGCGUCCAAGUCCAUCUUGAAUGGGGCCACUUACCCGUAGAGGGUGCCAGGCCCGUAGCGACCGGUGCGCGUCUCGGGAGGAUCUCUCCUUAGAGUCGGGUUGCUUGAGAGUGCAGCUCUAAGUGGGUGGUAAACUCCAUCUAAGGCUAAAUACGACCACGAGACCGAUAGCGAACAAGUACCGUGAGGGAAAGUUGAAAAGAACUUUGA